GACUCUCGGCAACGGAUAUCUCGGCUCUCGCAUCGAUGAAGAACAUAGCGAAAUGCGAUACCUGGUGUGAAUUGCAGAAUCCCGCGAACCAUCGAGGCUUUGAACGCAAGUUGCACCCGAGGCCACUCGGCCGAGGGCACGCCUGCCUGGGCGUCA
rnacentral:rRNA from 1 species